UCGAACGAAGGUAGCAAUACUUAGUGGCAGACGGGUGAGUAACAUGUAGGUAUCUGCCCUUUGGCCUGGAAUAACACGAGGAAACUUGUGCUAAUACCGGAUAAGUCUUUACGGAGAAAGCUUUAUGCACCAUUGGAUGAGCCUGCACUUGAUUAGUUUGUUGGUGGGGUAAUGGCCUACCAAGACUGUGAUCAAUAGCUGAUUUGAGAGGAUGAUCAGCCACAUUGGGACUGAGACACGGCCCAAACUCCUACGGGAGGCAGCAGUGGGGAAUCUUGCACAAUGGAGGAAACUCUGAUGCAGCGAUGCCGCGUGAGUGAAGAAGGCCCUUGGGUUGUAAAGCUCUUUCGUCGGGGAAGAAAAUGACUGUACCCGAAUAAGAAGGUCCGGCUAACUUCGUGCCAGCAGCCGCGGUAAUACGAAGGGACCUAGCGUAGUUCGGAAUUACUGGGCUUAAAGAGUUCGUAGGUGGUUGAAAAAGUUAGUGGCGAAAUCCCAGAGCUUAACUCUGGAACUGCCAUUAAAACUUUUCAGCUAGAGUAUGAUAGAGGAAAGCAGAAUUUCUAGUGUAGAGGUGAAAUUCGUAGAUAUUAGAAAGAAUACCAAUUGCGAAGGCAGCUUUCUGGAUCAUUACUGACACUGAGGAACGAAAGCAUGGGUAGCGAAGAGGAUUAGAU
rnacentral:rRNA from 1 species